rnacentral:rRNA from 1 species
AUUGAACGCCGGCGGCAUGCCUUACACAUGCAAGUCGAACGGCAGCACGGGUGCUUGCACCUGGUGGCGAGUGGCGAACGGGUGAGUAAUACAUCGGAACAUGUCCUGUAGUGGGGAAUAGCCCGGCGAAAGCCGGAUUAAUACCGCAUACGAUCUACGGAUGAAAGCGGGGGACCUUCGGGCCUCGCGCUAUAGGGUUGGCCGAUGGCUGAUUAGCUAGUUGGUGGGGUAAAGGCCUACCAAGGCGACGAUCAGUAGCUGGUCUGAGAGGACGACCAGCCACACUGGGACUGAGACACGGCCCAGACUCCUACGGGAGGCAGCAGUGGGGAAUUUUGGACAAUGGGCGAAAGCCUGAUCCAGCAAUGCCGCGUGUGUGAAGAAGGCCUUCGGGUUGUAAAGCACUUUUGUCCGGAAAGAAAUCCUUGGCCCUAAUACGGUCGGGGGAUGACGGUACCGGAAGAAUAAGCACCGGCUAACUACGUG